CAGAGGGUGCGAACGUUGUUCGGAAUUACUGGGCGUAAAGCGCGUGUAGGCGGCAACGCAAGUCGGGCGUGAAAUCCCACGGCUCAACCGUGGAAGUGCACUCGAAACUGCGUAGCUAGAGUCCUGGAGAGGAAGGUGGAAUGCUUGGUGUAGAGGUGAAAUUCGUAGAUAUCAAGCGGAACACCGGUGGCGAAGGCGGCCUUCUGGACAGUGACUGACGCUGAGACGCGAAAGCGUGGGGAGCAAACAGGAUUAGAUACCCUGGUAGUCCACGCCGUAAACGAUGAGUGCUAGGUGUCACGGGCUUUGACCCUCGUGGUGCCGAAGCUAACGCGUUAAGCACUCCGCCUGGGGAGUACGGCCGCAAGGCUA
rnacentral:rRNA from 1 species